rnacentral:lncRNA from 1 species
GCUUAUCUGGUAUUUAACUUUUCUUUCUCUGCUUGUCAAAUGAGAGUUAGAUUUUAUUUUUACAUUUGCUAAGUGUCCUGAUCUGCUCAUGAAAUCCUUCUAUGGGGGAAGCUGUGGGGCAGAUUCCUUAAGCGACCCUUUGGGACAACUCUUAUCAGGGAGGAGCGAACUGCUCAUUUCUGCCUACUUCUUUCCCUUCUGCUUCAUGUGUACUACAAAAUAGUCAUUGCAUGCAAUGGUGAGGCCCGCAAUUAGGGAAAAGAAGCUCUGGAAGCCCACUUUGCCAUCUCUACACUGGUCCAGGUCCUUCAUUAUUUUGUCCACAGCCAGAGGGUCUUUUUGAUUCUGAAAAAAAAAAGAACAAAGGCAAGAAAUAGAAGUCAAAGGUUGCAAUGAGGAGCUUAUUUGAUUUGUACUGCUGAGAACUGUGUAUAUAUCUCCCAAUUACUUGAGCUCUUGUUUUAGGUCAUAAGCAACCUUUGGAGUUCAUCUAAAUGUAUUUUUUUUUUUUUUUGCCUUGUGGGAGCAUUUCAGUAAUUUCAUAUUUAGAUUCUGCCUAAGAACCACCCUAAGCUCCUCAUUUUAUGGUUUAAACUUACAUUCUCUUAUUAAAAUUUUAUUCCUAAUGGCAUGGUCAAAUCCCUUACAAAGGAAACUCCUUAUGAAAAGAUAUUUAUGAUUUAGGGAAUAAGUUUUGGAUCACUGUCCUAUGGAUUUUAAAGAGGUGUUAAUGAUGCCAUGGGUUGGUUUUAGGUUUGGAGAAGGCAGCUCUCAUUCUUGGCACAGCUGAGGACAAGCUAGUGUGGCUUCAUAUCAUAUUAGCCACGUGAUGCUGAGUGAACCACACAGCUUAGUGGGCCUUUGUGUAUCAACGAUGAAUUGAGGAGGUUGGACUAUAAUGUUUCUAGAAUCCUUUCAUUCUUUGAGUUGGUAAGUCUAUGCCAUCCUAUACUCUUCACUGGAUGUUGUACACUGGACCAGUUUCAAAAGGAGUAUGUGGGAUGGAGUCUUAAACUCCCCAUGACUCUCAGUGCCUGGUAAGAAUGUAUGGAACAGAGAUGGGCAGGCAAGACCCCCUUUGCUUUUAUCUUGCUUACAUGGUGAUUGGCUUCAGCACUCCUUUUUGUAGUGAUGCUGGUCAGAAGCGGUAAGGUGUGGUUUUUCCUGUAGGGUCCAUGCCAUCAACCAGAGAGAGAAAUAUGGCCUAUUUGAGGUUGUUAAAGGGCUCAGGUAAACUAUUUAUGAAUUCUGAUGACUAUAUUCAUGAGUGAGGAAAAUGAUACGCAGUGUUUCAAGUGUGCUAGAUGUUUCUAAAUUGCACUCAGAAAUUCCUAAAAGUAUAGCAGCAGCAUUUCCCACAUGAGCACUGCAAACUCCUACUCUAGCUAAACGUGCUCUAUGCAGCUCUUGGUGGGUUUCAGCUAAUUCUGGCUUCACCCUCAGCUUCCUGGCUGUGGUCAGAAUGAGUGAAAUCUGGAUGACAUAAGAGGUCUACUUUAGAAACAAAAUGCUCUGUUAAUGCAGUGAGUCUAGAUGUUUCCAGAAUUAUGACUCUGUGCCUGGAAUAAAUUACCCUGCCAUGGUUAGUGCUCCACACUACAUAUACCCUUUAUGUGUCUGAUGCCACAAAGCCUUUAGGAAGAAAGGGUCUGUGUCUUACAUGAUACUCACUCUGGCUCUUAACAACACUCUUAACAAGUGUUUAGUGUACUGAGAAUGCCUUUGUCUAUAGGACAGGCAGGCUUACAAUGAGCACAUUUUGUCCUUGCAUCUUAAUGCUUGUCUUGAAUGAUCAUAGAAAGUGAAAGUGACCUUGCAGAUAAUUAUGUCCAGCCCUCUCUAAUUUUACAGGGGAGGAAACUGAAGACUAGAGAGCUGAAGCAACCUGCCCAUUGUUAGUUAAGGCAGAGCCAGAUCUUCUAACUCCUGGUCUGGGGCUAUAUCACAGGACUCUACAAAAGCAGAGGACCUGCAUAUUCUAACUCAUUCUGGGAUAGCAUUAGGUAAUAACUGCAGCUCUGAGAGAGCAGUUAGGCUAUUUAUAUCUGUUUAUUUAACUGAUAUUGAUGACAUACGAAUUAUAGUAUACUAAAAAGCCUCAUGUUUAUUGAUUGCAGGAGUCAGGGGCUGGACUAAUGUGCCGUUUACCAGUCAGAUGACAAGAGGCAGGACCCAACGUUUUACCGUAUCUCCUCUCACCCUUUACAGGUUAAUGCAUUAUUCAACACCAAGCACAGAAACAAUCUUUUCAGGUGACUACAAUUGUGGUAGGGAAAGAAGGGCUUGCAUUUCAGUCUACUAUUUUGUCAUGCAAUGUUGCACCUUCAGUUGAAUUCAACAGCCACCUCUCGAGAACCUGGAAUAUAAAAGGACAACUGUGCCUUGUGGCCCCAUGUCCUGAGUGAUGUAUCUGAGCUGAUGGCAGAGUCCUCUUAUAGGUCUUCAUGCAUCUCUCAGUCUGUCAAAGGUGAGACAUAAAUUCAAACUGCUCCUGUGCUGUCAGAGCAUUAUUAUGUGAAAAGCAGUUAUUUCUGGAGUGAUAUGUGGCUUUUAUUCAGUAGAUGACUGACACUGCUCCUUUGUAGUAUUAGAAAAAGAAAAAACAAUCCCUUUAUCUGAAGAGAUUUAAGAAGGGAGAUUCGAGUUGCUCAAAAUGGAAUGUGACCAGGAUGUGGCAUCUCCACCACCAGGUUUUUGGACCUGAAGGUAGCCAUUUUCUGGUUGACUACUCUUUUGUGAAAAGCUUUCUUUCUCCCAACUCUGUCCCCAACAUCGUCACAACAGACACAGAUAACCCGAUGGAAUUUUCCAACAAACAGCUCAUAUUGUGGUUAUUUGUAUGCAGUCUUAUUUCACCUGCAGACUGUAAGCUCCUUGAAGGUUGGGGCUGUGUCUUCAUUACUUUGUUUCCUCAACAGUAUCUUACAAAUAGCAGGUACUCAAUACUAUUUAAUAAAUGAAUGAAUGAGGUCAUUCAUUCAUUCCUUCAGGUGACUACAUUCAUUUAUUCACUAGUGGUGACCUCCACAGGGAAGGGAUGGAAACAAGAAGGAAAAGGAACCAAGGCCUAGAAGCAUUGACUUUUAUGUCUGGUUCUUUGUAAGCUUUUCAACACUUACUUCCAAAAAUCCAGGGAACUCCUUUUCCAUGAGUACUCUCAGGUCCUCCUUUGUUAAGUAGCCUUUAUCCCCAGCGAAUUUGUGAAAUGUAAACAUCAUGGUUUCCAUGGCGUGUUCCAUUUGAGAUGGCAUUUUGGUGUGGUCCGUUGAAGCCUAUUAAAGGAUGUAAAGUAACAGGGUCUACAUUAACUUUUUUUGGCAGACUUUAUGCAUGAAUUUAUUUUUUUUAAAUUGAAAGAUAAAAUUGUAUGUAUUUAAUGUGUACAACAUGAUGUUUUCAGGUAUAUAUACAUUGUGGGAUGACUGAAUCUAGCUAAUUAACAUAUGCAUUACCUCCCAUAGUUAGCACUUCUGUGGUGAGAACACUUAGCCACUCUUAACUAUUUGUCAAGAAUACAAUACAUUGUAAUUAACUAUAGUCACGUUGUUGUACAGUAGAUCUCUUAAACUUAUUCCUCCUAACUGAAAUUUUCAAUCUUUUGACCAAUAGCUCCUCAACAUCACUCAAAUGCAAUCACCCCAGCCCAUUCUAUUCUUUAGUUCUAUGAAAUUCAGUGUUUAAGAUUCCACAUGAGUGAGAUCAUCUGGUAAUUGUCUUUCUGUGCUUGGCUUAUUUCACUAAGCGUAACGUCCUCCAGGUUCAUCUUUGUAGAUUUACAUUAACUUUUAAGCCAUAUGUAUUGCCAGCCUUUUUAGGAUAAUUGGAAAGAUGGAGAUUAGAUCAUCCAUCUGAUCUUCUCCAGCUUUAAAAUUCAGUGAAUGAAUCUAAGAACCAGUCCACCCCAGUUUGGGUCCCUUGUUGGUAGAAAUAGACACCUCAGAUACUGGUGCUGUAAAUAAAGGGGUUUAGCUAACUCCAGCUAAUUUGCAUGAAUAAUCUAAUGAAGAAUAGAAACUAAUAAUUUAGAAAAGCAACAUCAGUGUUCCUCUUUUUUUUUUUUUUUUUUUUUUUUUUGAGACGGAGCUUUGCUCUUGUUGCCCAGGCUGGAGUGCAGUGUUGUGAUCUUGGCUCACUGCAACCUCCGCCUCCCAGGUAGCUGGGAUUACAGGCGUCCGCCACCAUGUCCGGCUAAUUUUUUGUAUUUUUAGUAGAGGCGGAGUUUUGCCAUGUUGAGCAGGCUGGUCUCAAACUCCUGACUUCAGGUGAUCCGCCCACCUCGGCCUCCCAAAGUGCUGGGAUUACAGGCCACUGCGCCCGGCCCAGUGUUCCUCUUUUUAACUGACAAAGCACCUACUGAAAGAACAGAUAGUUCAUAAUUUCUCUUGGCACUAGUAAAUGGGAUUCUUAGAUAUGGCUGAUACUAACAAUCCACACAGUCAAGUCUGGUAAAUACGAAAACUUCACCCUUCUAAGCUUAAAGUGGUAACUUGGUUCAGUGUGAUUCUAGGGUUUAGAAAUCUGCUUACAAAUGAAUUUAUCUGCUGGGUAUAUAUGUAUUCUUUUUUUUUUUUUUUUUUUGAGACGGAGUCUUGCUCUGUUGCCCAGGCUGGAGUGCAGUGGCGCCAUCUCGGCUCGCUGCAAGCUCCGCUUCCUGGAUUCACGGCAUUCUCCUGCCUCAGCCUCCCGAGUAGCUGGGACUACAGGUGCCCGCCACCGCGCCCGACUAAUUUUUUUGUAUUUUUAGUAGAGAUGGGGUUUCACCGUGGUCUCGAUCUCCUGACCUCGUGAUCCGCCCACCUCGGCCUCCCAAAGUGCUGGGAUUACAGGCGUGAGCCACUAUGCCCGGCCUAUAUGUAUUCUUUACUAAAGCUCUGAACUUGUUAUUUACUGCAAUAAAGACAGUUGCAUCUCUGGCAGUAAAAUACAGUUGCUCUACCCAAACAGAAAACUACUCAAAGUCCAUUGUCUAGUUCACUUGAGAAGCAACAAGUAAUACUAUAACCUAACUCAUUUGAGGGCCUCCUAUGUUUUUAGUGACAUUAGACAGAUGAGCUGCUCUCACAGUCUGGGGUACAGUGGGAAAGCAAGAGCUUUCAUCAUGAAGCGUUUAUAAGAAAGGAAAGGAAACAUGUCAGAUCAUUACAUUUGGGUAUAAUGAACUAGGGGUAUAUGUCUCACAAGACCCAGUACGUGGUACUUAAUAGAACCUCAGUGAAUUUUGGCUUAAUUGGAAGGAAUCAUUUGGCGAGAACAGAUAAGCUUUGGCUAAUAUCACCUAAAAUCACUACUGGAUAGGAAACAGGUGAACGUGAAUGGAGACUGUAAUAUAGCACUAAAAAAUAAAAAUAAAUAAUCACAAGAAUAGGCUUUGAGCUUAGAUUGAAGGGCUGGCAAAUUCCUCUGCUGAAGAGCUCUAAUGGGAACCUGAGACAUGCUUUGGUCUGGUUCCUAUCUCUGAGAGAUGCCUGUUCAACACUGAUUCUCAAAUGCUAUCUUUUACAGAGGAGAAGGUGGAGUGGGUAAACAUGAGGAUUGAGCAAUUAACACUUAAGAAUUGUAAAUUCUACCCCUUAAUCUCCAGAAAAGUAUGGGAACCAGCAGGCCAAAGAAUGCUAUAAAUCAGAAUCUGGCAUGAGUCAUCUGAAAGGCAGUUAGUUAUCUUGGAGAGAGCUGCAAAUUAAUGCUUCAAGGUCUGCUGUGAGAUGAAUUCCAGGGGAACCACACCCUUUUCCUUCUCUUCUGACACAGCUCAGAUCUGGCUCAUCCCCCAUCCCUCAUAUGGGUUUCAGAUGGCAGUGGGCUUACAGAGAGUCUGCCUUGCCUGGACUGGUACUCCAAGUCCAGCAAUUUAAGAGAACUGAACUGGGCGAGUCACCUCUGGGAGAAGGACGUGGGAUCCCACCCCAGUUCUUAAAUAACUCAGGAAAGGAGUCAGACACCACAGAGGUUUAAAAAUACCUGUGCUCAAGUUCAGAGCAGCAGAGCACUUCAGGAUCAAUUCCCAAAGAUCCCAGAAAUUGGAACUGGGUGGGGUACCUAGUUUACUUUUUUCAGAUGACAGGACAGAAGGAAAGUGCAGAAUUAAGAAAGGGAAUGCAGCAGGGUAAGGACCUCUAAAUUUUAAAAAGGCUAAUUUUAGGAGGUUCUAAGAAAUACAAGUUGUCAGCUGAGGAAAUCCUGGCCACCCUUGAGUAUCUUCUUCAGGAGAGCAAGGUGAGUCUACCUCACACUGUGUGAGUGCUUAGGUCUGAAGUCACUCAGUCGCAUGCCUCUCUUGCCCACAGCCAUUACGAAGUGACGGAGCUUCCUUCUCUGAAGUUACAUCCUUCUCCCACUUGGUCUUCCCCUCCCCUCCUCCCCCAGCGGUUUUAUUCAGUGGAUGGAUUGUGAAUAUUGCAGCCAGCUGACUCCCUGUGUGUCCAGUAGGCCUUCUGCAAUAAGGAUGCAGAGGAGGGAGUAGCCAGGAGGUGAAAAUAGCAUUGAAAAUCAGUGGAGAAGCCCUUGUCUCCUCAGCAACCAGUACCCCAAAGGGCACUGACCAGGGCCACAGCAAGGAACUCUGUUUUGGGGAAGGAGUUGCACACUGGCUUUAAAAUAAGACAAAGGAAAGGGGGAAAUGUUGUGAUUAAAACUCUGUUCUCUUGGCUAGAGGAUGAAUCAUGUAACUCUUGUCUGAGUGCAGCCAAUGGUUGCCCAACUGAGUCAGCCCUGCCUGGCCCUCCGUUCUUGGGUGGGGCUUGCCUGGGCAGGGCUGUCUGCAGCACUGCUAGCUGCCAAAACUGAAGUUCUUCAGGGACUUCAAUCUGGCAUUUCCACCCUCACGUAGCCACUCUGCAAGCUCUAUUCCUGGACAGAUGUGGGCUUCCUGCAUCCUGGUUAGACACAUUUUGACAGGAGGGCCUUGGGGCUGGGGCUGAGGGGCUGCAGUGUCCUCUCUAUCCCCAAUAACGUACUCUUGCACCUGAAACAUUCAAUUUCAUUUAAUUGUUUACUUGUCUGCCUGAGAUUUAAGCUUCUCUUGAUUAAGAACUACAAAUUAUUCUGCUUUUAUUCAUGGAGCACUAUAUAACUGUUAUGUGCAUAAAUGAACCACACAAUCCCUUGGGCAGUAGCUGAGGUGCAGGUGUGAUUACCCAGGACUAGGCUGAAAGCCUUGUAGCUCAGAGCUCAGGAGGACGAUGUGAGAGCUGGGAAGGGCCAGGAAAGGGGCCCCAAAAGUGUUCAACUAUGAACGGAACAGUAGAUAGAGUACACAGGAGUGCACAUUCCAUACGCAAAAGGAAAAAUAUGUGUCCUGCUAAACAGGUCUAGUCAGAAUGACAUGACUGUGCUCCUUCUCUUCUAACACUUGCUAUUUUCUCGUGUUUCAUUCAUCCCAUCUUCUACUUUUUGCUUUUCUAGUGCUGCUAUCUCACUGCUGAGCUCCACAGGAUAAUAACAGCCUUGCUGUCCACUCACCUUUUAUUGAAGUAUUCUAAUCUGAUGCCUAUACAUGCCCUCUACAUGUUUGUCUGAGCAACAGGUCUUAAGAAGGGAGGCGGAGACAUCUUUCUCUGCAUAGUUUUCUCUAUGGAAAACAAUUCUGGACUCCACAAAUUUAGUUACCUUAGGAGGAAUUCAAUUUUCCAUUUUUGGUUCUCCCUCCCUGAGCACCUACUUUGAAUGUCCCAGACAUGGUGUUAGGCAUGAGGGUGUUCACACACACAUACACACAUGCACACACACACAAAGCUCUCCAUGGUGCUUGCCUUUGAGGAGUUCACCAGCUAAUGGAAUACUAUUAAAGCAUUUGGCCUGAAUUCUAGUUAUUUGUGUUUCUGUUUCUUUCCUCACUAGGUUGCAGGUUUUUUGAGCAGGGUCCCAAUAGCCAGUGCCCCAGCCCUCAUAGAGCCUGCUCGAUGAAUUGUUAAGAAAUUGAUAAUGAUGUAUUUUGGUUGUCCUGCGAGUAGCAGACAAGCAGGAGUCCUCCUCAGAAAAGUGUCUGCUCCUGAAAAAUCUCAAAUGUUUGCUUUGGACCUAUGCCCAGAUCCCGGCUGCAGUUUCAAAGAGGACACUUCUGCAGAGUGAGUCGGACUUGCUUUGCUCCUCUGUGUCUUGUCCAUACCCUAGUUUUCUUACAGCCCACCCAGAAAAUAAACGGCAGGGUGUCAGUAAAAACAAACAUCUGUUAUUUAAAAUAUGUUUGAGGUUUCCUUCCUUUUGCUUUAGAAAUUUUGGAGUUUUUAAAAUUGAACCCAGAAGGCAUUCUUAAAUUUGAUCUCUGAAGGGAAUUCAGAAAAAAUGAGUUGAAGCAAUGGAUCUGGAUCCAGGCUGUCUCUCUCACCUCUCACCAACUAAAACUUGCCCACUAAAGAACUGGGCAGCAAAGGAACGUUUCAGAUGCAAUUCAAUAGGAAGAAAGAACUUGGAAGAAACCUCCUUCAAUCUAACCAACUACAUCAAUUUUUCCUUAAAGAAUGCUUAGGCAUCAGCCUAAUCAGCCAACAUAGCUACUGUCAAAACUGCUUUUAGUUAAAUCCUUUGGUAGGAUGGGUGGUAUUUAUUUAGUAAAGGGAUAGAAAGUGCUGAAAAUUGUUUAAAAGAAGUACAUUCUUUCUUUUUGCUUUUGAUGUGGAUUCCUAAAUUUGUUGAGUCCCCAGAAAAAUGAGAAACUUAAGAUGUUAAAAUUUUAGUCCAGCUUUCUCAGCACUUUGAGUGCUAAUUUAUACAUUAUAAUCCUGAAAGAAUUCCAUUGUUUCUCUCAACUUUACGCUUUAAAAGACUGGACUGUGUCCAAGGGUAUACCAAGUGGGUUGUGCUCUACAAAAGUCACAUUUUUUGAACUGUCAGUAGAAAGCAGGGAGGCACACAGUCUCAGCUCCACCCUGACCUCACUGGAGUGGCUGCUUAGGAGGCUGGCCAGCACACGGGAGGAAAGGGGCCUAUAUGAUGUGUCGGAGAAAAGCUAGGAAGAGCAUCACCCAGAAAGCAGGGUAAGACCCAAAAAUUGCUUCAUGCCCAGUAGACCAAAAAAAUUGUAAGAACCUAGAUAAGAAACUCCAAAUGGUGGAUCAAGGGCCACAGUGAAGAAACUAUCCUCUGGCUGUGAAGGAACAAAUACACCAUUUGGAAGGGAUGAUUAAAGAGAAACUGGAUAGGAAUCUGUGGGGGCAGGGCCGAUGAAGAAACUUCCAAUAAGUUAUAUGAACUCAUUCCCACUCCAACCCCUGGCAUUAUCUUUUGCAAUUUGCUGAAACAUGUUGGAGGCAAAGAUCACCGACUGGGUGUUUCCAUGAGCCUGGCCUCACCUAAAACGCACAACAUAAAACUCCAUUCCUGGAGACUGAAACUCAAGCUUCUGGGGAAAAAUAUCCGCAACAACUGCAAACCUCUUAGCGGGAAAAGCUACCUCCCAAGUAAGGCUGAGGCAGGCUGCCAGGCGCAUACUGGCCGAUAACGAAAAGCGGUCUCGCCAAGGCCCUGCAGAUCUAAUUACUGCCCUCACCGGCAGUUCAGUCGAGAAACCUCUCCUGCAGACUGGCAGCCAGACCAGGUGUGACUCACUUCCUCUUGGAAAAUGCCCUCUGAGAUGGCACAGUUCUCCUUUUCCUUCAGGGAGUGUUCUGUCCAAACCAUCCACCGAGAGUAUCUGCAACCGGCCACACCCACAUGGUCUCACAGCUGAGUCACAGGCCUCAGACCACUGGGAGAAUCCUGGAGCCCUUUGUGCUAACCACGCCCUGCAGAAGCUCCCGCAGAGACGGAACUGGGUGGGGGCAGAAAACGGGGUGGGCUUAAUGCAUCCCAGAAUCUGGCUUAGGGCUCCCCUGUGCUGGCCUGGCUUGGAGCGCUCUGCAUUCCACCCCAGCCAACAAGGCAGAGCUCCUGGUUUCACUUAGGCAGAGCUGGACUGAGGCUGGACAGGCAGCAGUGUCCACGGCUAGGGGCAGCGCCAUUCCUUCGGCCAAAGCACAGGUGGUGAACCAAGUACCAAAGGCACGUCUGUCUGUUUCACUGCACCGGGCCAAAUUAAUCUAUGAUUGGAAGAUCCUUCAUCAAGCCUGCUCUUCCUCCAUCUCUUUCUGGUUCCACUUAUUAAGACAGCAAGGGAACCCUUUCAGUAGAGAAACCACGUCACACAGGGCCCUCUCCCACAAACCCCAGCCAAACUGCUGUAGAAAGAAAACAAGUGGACCUCCCUCCCUCAGCAGGAAGACCCUUUCCGUCGAGCAGACAACAGGAAGCCCCGACCAGAAACGCCUGUUUGGCCGACGGACUAAGGGUUACGGAAGGGACGCCCCAGCUGCCUACUCGUCCUACCCGCGCCUACUUGGGCGGUACAGCCGGGAGCAGGCUACGAACAUGCAGACCCGGCCUGCGAGCGGAACCCACCAAGAAACACGCCAGCCAGGGCAGGGGCGUGUAGGAGGGAUUCGGUAACCCGAGAGACGAGUGGGAAAGUAGGAAAGGUGGGAGUAAAGCAACGCAAACAUAAAGGGAGGAGGGAAGAGGUUCAGGCGCACCAAUACCACGGUCCCCUCCUAAAGAACAAGUGCCCCCUCCUCUGGUCCGCGUGGGUCUGGGGGCGGCCGCGCCCGGGCCGGGGAGGGGCGCUGCUGGCCUCGUUUGGGUGUGGCCCGGAGCACUGAGCAGCGGAUUCCCCACCAGCCGCUCCCCGCCCAGCCCCGCGGUGCUCCGGACGCCCCGCGAAGCCGGGUGCAGGGUUUUCCCCGGGCAGCAGGUCCGGGCCUGGGGACUACCCAGGAGGGGCGCGUGGGCCGGGCGGAGCUCACCUUGGCCGAGGCGCGGCGGACGCUGGGCGAGCUGGGCGAGCUGGACGCGGGGCGGAGAGGCGAGCGCGGCGGGCUGUGCGCCUUCCUUAGUACGUGCGGCGGGUGGGUAGAGGGAGGCCUCGCCCGCCCCAGACAGAGCGUUCUUGUAAACUUCUCUUCAGUAGAAACGGUCC